rnacentral:rRNA from 1 species
GUAGGGAAUAUUGGGCAAUGGAGGCAACUCUGACCCAGCCAUGCCGCGUGCAGGAUGACGGCCCUCUGGGUUGUAAACUGCUUUUAUACGGGAAGAAAAAAUACUACGUGUAGUAUACUGACGGUACCGUAAGAAUAAGGAUCGGCUAACUCCGUGCCAGCAGCCGCGGUAAUACGGAGGAUCCAAGCGUUGUCCGGAUUUAUUGGGUUUAAAGGGUGCGUAGGCGGAUCUUUAAGUCAGUGGUGAAAGCCUGCAGCUUAACUGUAGAAUUGCCAUUGAAACUGAAGAUCUUGAAUGUGGUUAAAGUAGGCGGAAUGUAUCAUGUAGCGGUGAAAUGCUUAGAUAUGAUACAGAACACCGAUAGCGAAGGCAGCUUGCUGAACCAUUAUUGACGCUGAGGCACGAAAGCGUGGGGAGCGAACAGGAUUAGAAACCCCAGUAGUCC